AGAGAAAGAGAAGAAGAAGAAGAAAAUAGUCAAGAGUUCUAGUGAUGUUUAUGAGGAGAAGCCGUAUUCAGCUGCUUCGACCAAAAGCAGGGGAGACAAGGAAAGAAGAGAUCAUCUAAUGGAACUACGUGCUGAAUCACAGAGAUUGUUGAGAGAAACUAGAAAUGCAUCAUUUAAGCCUGUUCCUCUUGUUCAAAAGUCCGUAUCUUCUGUUCUCGAGAAGAUCCGGAAAAGGAAGCUUGAGCUUUGGAAAAGAUCUGACAUUACAAAUAGAGAUUCUUUUAUUGAUGGCAAUGACAAUAUUUCAAGAGAGGCUUUGGACUUCGAUUUAGAAAAUUCUCCUAUUAAGGAUGUAGAAGAUCAUAAGGCUGAAGAAGCAAACAGUGAGGAAGCAACAAUUUGUCCUGUUGAUGUGGAAAGCAGUUUAGAUGUUAGUGCACAAGGAUCUGUGGGGACUUCAAGUGACACUCACAAAAAUGUAAUUUCUCAGAUGGCUUUGAAUGACGAUUUAAAACAAACAUUCCGAGCUCCUGUUGAUGAUACUCAGGAUAUUAAUUUUGACUCCCAAACAACUGAAUCUAAUGAUGAGCUGUCAGAUGAGAUGCCCAGCAGUCCGCUGAAAGAGGUUAUGGCACCUUCUUUACUUGCAAUGAACUUAAAGCUUGAUUCUGCUCCUCCUGAUGACUUUUCUUCUGAUGAAGAGGACAGUGACAAGGAGAACAUUGAUCCCUGCAUACGAGGAUCAGCUGACUCACCUUCUUCUCCGAGAGGUGAUCCUGUGAAAGCUUUUGUUGAUGAAGAAGCUGAGGAAGAGGAUAGUGAUAAUGACAAAGCUCUUUUACAAGAUGAUGAGGAAGAUGAGGAUAACAUGGACGCUGAGGAGCUUAAUGAUAUGAUAGCAACUGAAUAUGAAGAAAAGCCUAUUGACAAUGAAAGGCGCAAUCAGCUUCAUCAGAAGUGGCUUGAGCAGCAGGAUGCUGCUGGAACUGAAAACCUUUUGCAAAGGCUGAGAUGCAGUUCCAAACAGAAAGAAAUGGCCUUGGUUGAAGAGAGAGAUGAUGAGGAGAGUGAAGAGCCUGAAGAAGACUUUCUUGAUGAUCCUGCGGAAUACCUUCUUCCUAGAAAUGCUGUAGGAAUGAACUUGAAGAAAGCAAAAGAAAUGAUUCCUCAAAUGUUUACAGAUAAAGAUGAUACGUAUGUUUCCUCUGAUGAUGAGGAAAUUGAAAAGAGGCUUGUUAGGCAAAGCUUCUCUCAUAAAGCUGAAGAGCAGGCUUCUUUCUUGUCACCAGCAGAGCAUGAAGGCUCCAAAGAAAUCUUUGGUCUUAUAAAAAAGUUGAAUGGUGUGCCAGACACUCGGAGGAAAGCCAAAAAAACAUCCUAUUUUCACAUGCUGUCCAUAGGAGGAAACAAGACCAUGUCAUUGAAGUCAUCUUUCCUAAGUCGGGGGUCAAGAAAUUCUCUCCCAGCAUUCCAGAAGCAUGGUCCAGGCACAGUUCGUUCUUUUGUCUUUGAAAGAGAUGACAGUAAUAGCAGGAGUGCAGUCUCAAUGUCAGAGGAUUCUUCAGAUUUGGUUCUGAGAGAGAACAGAGCAAAGAAAACUGCAUCAGCCAAGUUCAGUAAGUCGCAAGUUAGAUCCAGUGCUCCAAACACACAAUCAAUGGCAGAGAAGAAUUCUGGCCCUUCACUGCAUGAGAUAUUAAGGUGCCCAUCACUGCAAUCUAGCCAUUAUAGUCGUGGUAACAAUAACAUGGUUGGCCAAGUUGAAGCCAUAUAUGCUGCUUUUAAAUUGGAUAAGAAUCUUAUAAAGAGCGAACCUGGUAUAUCUAUAAGAACAACCUAGGAUGUUAUGGGCGUUCAAUGGAUCCAAAACGCUGUUCUUGAUGUUCUUUUCAUUAGUGCAAUCUGUAAAGCUUUUUUUCAAUAUUCAGAUGCUGAACACCAAGCAAGACAUCAGUUUCCAAAUGAAGUGUGCAAUAUGUAGAUUGGUCUAUUCUACAUUAUAGAAGAGCUUAGUGUUUUUUAAUUGCC
rnacentral:misc_RNA from 1 species